GAUGAAGAACGCAGCGAAAUGCGAUAAGUAGUGUGAAUUGCAGAAUCCAGUGAAUCAUCGAAUCUUUGAACGCACAUUGCGCCCCUUGGUAUUCCAUGGGGCAUGCCUGUUCGAGCGUCAUUUGCACCUUCAAGCUUUGCUUGGUGUUGGGUGUUUGUCUCGCCUUUGCGUGUAGACUCGCCUUAAAAUAAUUGGCAGCCGGCGUAUUGAUUUCGGAGCGCAGUACAUCUCGCGCUUUGCACUCAUAACGACAGCGUCCAAAAGUACAUUUUACACUCUUGACCUCGGAUCAGGUAGGGAUACCCGCUGAACUUAAGCAUAUCAAUAAGCGGAGGA
rnacentral:misc_RNA from 1 species